rnacentral:rRNA from 1 species
UAUUUUGGAAGUAAAAAAUCGUAACAAGGUCUCCGUUGGUGAACCAGCGGAGGGAUCAUUACCGAGUUUACAACUCCCAAACCCAAUGUGAACGUUACCAAACUGUUGCCUCGGCGGGAUCUCUGCCCCGGGUGCGUCGCAGCCCCGGACCAAGGCGCCCGCCGGAGGACCAACCAAAACUCUUAUUGUAUACCCCCUCGCGGGUUUUUUUAUAAUCUGAGCCUUCUCGGCGCCUCUCGUAGGCGUUUCGAAAAUGAAUCAAAACUUUCAACAACGGAUCUCUUGGUUCUGGCAUCGAUGAAGAACGCAGCGAAAUGCGAUAAGUAAUGUGAAUUGCAGAAUUCAGUGAAUCAUCGAAUCUUUGAACGCACAUUGCGCCCGCCAGUAUUCUGGCGGGCAUGCCUGUCCGAGCGUCAUUUCAACCCUCGAACCCCUCCGGGGGGUCGGCGUUGGGGAUCGGCCCUGCCUUGGCGGUGGCCGUCUCCGAAAUACAGUGGCGGUCUGGCCGCAGCCUCUCCUGCGCAGUAGUUUGCACACUCCCUUGGUAGAGGCGGCGCGUCCACAGCCGUUAAACACCCAACUUCUGAAAUGUGACCUCUGAUCAGGUAGAAUCCGAUCCCCUA